CACAUCCAACAUACAGGUGUAACAGAACACAUCCAACAUACAGGUGUAACAGUCACAUCCAACAUACAGGUGUAACAGAUCACAUCCAACAUACAGGUGUAACAGAUCACAUCCAACAUACAGGUGUAACAGAUCACAUCCAACAUACAGGUGUAACAGUCACAUCCAACAUACAGGUGUAACAGAUCACAUCCAACAUACAGGUGUAACAGAUCACAUCCAACAUACAGGUGUAACAGUCACAUCCAACAUACAGGUGUAACAGUCACAUCCAACAUACAGGUGUAACAGAACACAUCCAACAUACAGGUGUAACAGAUCACAUCCAACAUACAGGUGUAACAGUCACAUCCAACAUACAGGUGUAACAGAUCACAUCCAACAUACAGGUGUAACAGAACACAUCCAACAUACAGGUGUAACAGAACACAUCCAACAUACAGGUGUAACAGAUCACAUCCAACAUACAGGUGUAACAGUCACAUCCAACAUACAGGUGUAACAGAUCACAUCCAACAUACAGGUGUAACAGAACACAUCCAACAUACAGGUGUAACAGAUCACAUCCAACA